rnacentral:rRNA from 1 species
GAUGAACGCUAGCUACAGGCUUAACACAUGCAAGUCGCGGGGCAGCAUGGGGGUUGCUUGCAAUCCCCGAUGGCGACCGGCGCACGGGUGAGUAACGCGUAUCCAACCUGCCCUUCACCACGGGAUAACCCGGCGAAAGUCGGACUAAUACCGUAUGUUGGCCAUUGACGGCAUCCGAUUUGGACGAAAGGCUUGGCGGUGAGGGAUGGGGAUGCGUCCGAUUAGCCAGACGGCGGGGUAACGGCCCACCGUGGCUACGAUCGGUAGGGGUUCUGAGAGGAAGGUCCCCCACACUGGAACUGAGACACGGUCCAGACUCCUACGGGAGGCAGCAGUGAGGAAUAUUGGUCAAUGGGCGUAAGCCUGAACCAGCCAAGUAGCGUGCAGGAGGACGGCCCUAUGGGUUGUAAACUGCUUUUAUGCGGGGAUAAAGUGGCCCACGUGUGGGCUUUUGCAGGUACCGCAUGAAUAAGGACCGGCUAAUUCCGUG